rnacentral:lncRNA from 1 species
GAAGAUGGGAUCACACAAUCAAAUUAGGUAGCUUCUUCAAUCACCUGAUAAAUCAAAAAAGGGCCUACAUCACCAUUUGCAGUUCCGAAUAUAUAUAGCAAAGGCUAUGACUAAGCUAUCUAACUAAACAAAGCCCCUCUAAAAUAACUACCCAAAAAAGUAAAAUGAAGACUACAUAACCUGUUUCAUUCUGGAAAAAUGAAGAGAAGGCUGCAUAACCUCUUAAGCACCUGUUCUUAUCAACUCAAACAUGACCGAAAAGGGCACUCAGACAAGAUUUUCUCAGAGAGAUAGAGAGAGAUAGAGGGAGGGAGAGAGACUCAUGUAGGUGGAUGCUACACAAUCCAAGAAUCCUCACCUGCAUAUGAAGACAAGUCCCUCCAAAUUCUCCAUAUAACAAGAGCCAAGCAGGAGAAAUCAUACCACCUAUACCCAACAAAACCUGCACAAUAGAAACAGGCAAACCUAGUCGAUGCCAGAGGUAAUUCAAUUUAACUCUAGGUCCCACUGGUAUCAAGCCAUCAUACUUGCAACAUUAAGGCUGGGAGAUACUAUAAGCCUAGUCUACGCACUAUGACACCCUCUGUGAUUCUCUUUUCGAUGACUUCAGUGUUUCUGCGACUUCACAUUCAUCAGGCAUUAUGAAUAACUAAAUAAAAUGUACACUUUUAUGUGCAUCAUAAAACAAUGAUUAAGUAAAAAUUAUGUCCACUUUAAUUGAUAUGAAUUUGGUAGAUAACCAAUAGAUAACCAGAAAACCAUAAGCACUGGGCAGGUACUUAUUAUAUAUAAUCAUUGCAAUAUGCUUGUUGGCCUAUGUGAAGAUGUUAAUAUACUCUCAAGCCUAAGAGAAGGACUUCCUAUUCGAGUAUCUAAUUGGUAAAAAUGUCCAUAUUAGACGAAUAAACCAGCAGAUGUUCAGAAAAAAAAAAGCACAAAUGGGCAUUCUUUGUGUGCAAUAGGUGCUGCUAAUUUUAAGGCCUCUUGGAGGUAACAUGAUAUUCUAAAGCCUGAGC